rnacentral:rRNA from 1 species
GUAAGGAAUAUUGGUCAAUGGGCGGAAGCCUGAACCAGCCAUGCCGCGUGCAGGACGACUGCCCUAUGGGUUGUAAACUGCUUUUGUACGGGAAUAACCCCCCGCUCGUGAGCGGGGCUGAAUGUACCGUAAGAAUAAGGAUCGGCUAACUCCGUGCCAGCAGCCGCGGUAAUACGGAGGAUCCGAGCGUUAUCCGGAUUUAUUGGGUUUAAAGGGUGCGUAGGUGGCCGUUUAAGUCAGGGGUGAAAGACGGCAGCUCAACUGUCGCAGUGCCUUUGAUACUGAUCGGCUUGAAUGGCGUUGAAGAUGGCGGAAUGAGACAAGUAGCGGUGAAAUGCAUAGAUAUGUCUCAGAACACCGAUUGCGAAGGCAGCUGUCUAAGCGUUGAUUGACACUGAUGCACGAAAGCGUGGGGAUCGAACAGGAUUAGAAACCCCAGUAGUCC